rnacentral:rRNA from 1 species
AUUGAACGCUGGCGGCAUGCCUUACACAUGCAAAUCGAACGGUAACGGGCCUUCGGGUGCUGACGAGUGGCGAACGGGUGAGUAAUACAUCGGAACGUGCCCGAUCGUGGGGGAUAACGAGGCGAAAGCUUUGCUAAUACCGCAUACGAUCUACGGAUGAAAGCAGGGGACCGCAAGGCCUUGCGCGGACGGAGCGGCCGAUGGCAGAUUAGGUAGUUGGUGGGAUAAAAGCUUACCAAGCCGACGAUCUGUAGCUGGUCUGAGAGGAUGAUCAGCCACACUGGGACUGAGACACGGCCCAGACUCCUACGGGAGGCAGCAGUGGGGAAUUUUGGACAAAGGGCGCAAGCCUGAUCCAGCCAUGCCGCGUGCAGGAUGAAGGCCUUCGGGUUGUAAACUGAUUUUGUACGGAACGAAAAGCCUUCUUUUAAUACAGGAGGGUCAUGACGGUACCGUAAGAAUAAGCACCGGCUAACUACGUG